rnacentral:rRNA from 1 species
GGAUUAGAUACCCUGGUAGUCCACGCCGUAAACGAUGUCUACUUGGAGGUUGGGACCUUGAGUUCUGGCUUUCGGAGCUAACGCGUUAAGUAGACCGCCUGGGGAGUACGGUCGCAAGAUUAAAACUCAAAUGAAUUGACGGGGGCCCGCACAAGCGGUGGAGCAUGUGGUUUAAUUCGAUGCAACGCGAAGAACCUUACCUACUCUUGACAUCCACGGAAUCCUUUAGAGAUAGAGGAGUGCCUUCGGGAACCGUGAGACAGGUGCUGCAUGGCUGUCGUCAGCUCGUGCCG